GAUGAAGAACGCAGCGAAAUGCGAUAAGUAAUGCGAAUUGCAGAAUUUCCGUGAGUCAUCGAAUCUUUGAACGCACAUUGCGCCCACUGGUAUUCCGGUGGGCAUGCCUGUUCGAGCGUCAUUUCAACCAUCAAGCCCUGCUUGUGUUGGGGUCCUGCGGCUGCCCGCAGGCCCUGAAAACCAGUGGCGGGCUCGCUAGUCACACCGAGCGCAGUAGCACAUCUCGCUCAGGGCGUGCGGCGGGCUCCAGCCGUUAAAGCACCCACCUUUCGCAAGGUUGACCUCGGAUCAGGUAGGAAUACCCGCUGAACUUAAGCAUAUCAAUAAGCGGAGGA
rnacentral:misc_RNA from 1 species